CGCUGGCGGCAUGCCUUACACAUGCAAGUCGAACGGCAGCGCGGGGCAACCUGGCGGCGAGUGGCGAACGGGUGAGUAAUAUAUCGGAACGUACCCUGGAGUGGGGGAUAACGUAGCGAAAGUUACGCUAAUACCGCAUACGAUCUAAGGAUGAAAGUGGGGGAUCGCAAGACCUCAUGCUCCUGGAGCGGCCGAUAUCUGAUUAGCUAGUUGGUAGGGUAAAAGCCUACCAAGGCAUCGAUCAGUAGCUGGUCUGAGAGGACGACCAGCCACACUGGAACUGAGACACGGUCCAGACUCCUACGGGAGGCAGCAGUGGGGAAUUUUGGACAAUGGGCGCAAGCCUGAUCCAGCAAUGCCGCGUGAGUGAAGAAGGCCUUCGGGUUGUAAAGCUCUUUUGUCAGGGAAGAAACGGGUCUUUCUAAUACAGAGGCCUAAUGACGGUACCUGAAGAAUAAGCACCGGCU
rnacentral:rRNA from 1 species